UACGUAGGGUGGCUAGCGUUGUCCGGAUUUACUGAGCGUAAAGGGCGCGUAGGCGGCGCGGUAAGUCACUUGUGAAAUCUCUGAGCUUAACUCAGAACGGCCAAGUGAUACUGCAGUGCUAGAGUGUGGAAGGGGCAAUCGGAAUUCUUGGUGUAGCGGUGAAAUGCGUAGAUAUCAAGAGGAACACCUGAGGUGAAGACGGGGUUGCUGGGCCAACACUGACGCUGAGGCGCGAAAGCGUGGGGAGCAAACAGG
rnacentral:rRNA from 1 species